ACACACACACACACACCCUGGGUAACAUUCACAAUAACUGACAAACACGAGUACAAGAGACAGGAAUAGAUAUAGGGCAGAUAAAGAGGGGCAGACAGGUGAGCACAAUGAGGAGAUUAACUAAUAAUGAGAACAGGAACAACCAAAUAAG